CGGACGGGUGAGUAAUGCUUGGGAAUCUAGCUUAUGGAGGGGGAUAACUACGGGAAACUGUAGUUAAUACCGCGUAAUAUCGAAAGAUUAAAGUGUGGGACCUUCGGGCCACAUGCCAUAGGAUGAGCCCAAGUGGGAUUAGGUAGUUGGUGAGGUAAAGGCUCACCAAGCCGACGAUCUCUAGCUGGUCUGAGAGGAUGACCAGCCACACUGGGACUGAGACACGGCCCAG
rnacentral:rRNA from 1 species